GGCCAAGUUUUUUAGGGCACACGGUGGAUGCCUUGGCAUCAGGAGCCGAUGAAGGACGUGGGAGGCUGCGUUAAGCCUCGGGGAGUCGCCAACCAGACGUUGAUCCGGGGAUGUCCGAAUGGGGAAACCCAGCACCAGUCAUGUGGUGUUGCCUCCGCCUGAAUGUAUAGGGCGGUUGGUGGUAACGCGGGGAAGUGAAACAUCUCAGUACCCGUAGGAAGAGAAAACAAAUAGUGAUUCCGUGAGUAGUGGUGAGCGAAAGCGGAUGAGGCUAAACCGUAUGUGUGUGAUAGCCGGCAGGCGUUGCGCAUGCGGGGUCGUGGGACCUUCUUGAAGUCUCUGCCGAGGCUUCGGCAAGUAAAAAACCUUCGAGGUAGUCGAAAGCUCUGGGAAGGGCUGCCGUAGACCGUGAGAGCCGGGUAGGCGAAAUUUCGUGGGCUUGUUGAGGGGAUCCCAAGUAGCACGGGGCUCGAGGAAUCCUGUGUGAAUCUGCCAGGACCACCUGGUAAGCCUAAAUACUCCCUGAUGACCGAUAGUGAACAAGUACCGUGAGGGAAAGGUGAAAAGCGCCCCGGUGAGGGGGUCGUGAAAUAGUACCUGAAACCCGUGUGCCUACAAGCCGUAGGAGCCGUAGACGAGAGCUUGCUUUUCGUCUGUGAUGUGACUUGCGUGCCUUUUGAAGAAUGAGCCUGCGAGUUAUGGUGUGUGGCAAGGUUAACCCCGUGUGGGGGAGCCGUAGCGAAAGCGAGUCUGAAUAGGGCGUUUGAGUCGCAUGCUGUAGACCCGAAAGCGGGGUGAUCUACGCAUGGGCAGGUUGAAGCGCGGGUAAGACCGCGUGAGGACCGAACCCACCAGGGUUGAAAACCUGGGGGAUGACCUGUGUGUAGGGGUGAAAGGCCAAUCAAACUCCCGUGAUAGCUGGUUCUCCCCGAAAUGCAUUUAGGUGCAGCGUUGCGUGUUUCUUGCCGGAGGUAGAGCUCUGGAUGGCAGAUGGGCCCGACAAGGUUACUGACGUCAGCCAAACUUCGAAUGCCGGUAAGUGAGAGCGUGGCAGUGAGACUGCGGGCGAUAAGGUUCGUAGUCGAGAGGGAAACAGCCCAGAUCACCGACUAAGGCCCCUAAGCGUGUGCUAAGUGGGAAAGGAUGUGGAGUCGCAGAGACAACCAGGAGGUUGGCUUAGAAGCAGCCACCCUUGAAAGAGUGCGUAAUAGCUCACUGGU
rnacentral:rRNA from 1 species